AGCAGCCGCGGUAAUUCCAGCUCCAAUAGCGUAUAUUAAAGUUGUUGCAGUUAAAAAAGCUCGUAGUUGAAUUUCGGGACCAAUAUGUUGGUCGUGCCUCGGUACGCACUGGCAUUAUUGGUUUCUCCCUUCUGACGAACUACGAUGCCAUUAAUUUGGUGUCGUAGGGAAUCAGGACUGUUACUUUGAAAAAAUUAGAGUGUUUAAAGCAGGCUCGCGCUUGAAUACAUUAGCAUGGAAUAAUGAAAUAGGACGUUUGAUUCUAUUUUGUUGGUUUCUAGGAUCGACGUAAUGAUUAAUAGGGAUAGUUGGGGGCAUUAGUAUUCAAUUGUCAGAGGUGAAAUUCUUGGAUUUAUUGAAGACU
rnacentral:sRNA from 1 species